CAGUAGCCACGGUAAUACGGAGGGUGCAAGCGUUAAUCGGAAUUACUGGGCGUAAAGCGCACGCAGGCGGUUUGUUAAGUCAGAUGUGAAAUCCCCGAGCUUAACUUGGGAACUGCAUUUGAAACUGGCAAGCUAGAGUCUUGUAGAGGGGGGUAGAAUUCCAGGUGUAGCGGUGAAAUGCGUAGAGAUCUGGAGGAAUACCGGUGGCGAAGGCGGCCCCCUGGACAAAGACUGACGCUCAGGUGCGAAGGCGUGGGGAGCAAACAGGAUUAGAGACCCCGGUAGUCCCUGUCCUUAUACC
rnacentral:rRNA from 1 species